rfam:Oryza rufipogon genomic scaffold, chr06
UUUAAGUGUAACCAUAAGUUUUCACGCUCAAUUUUGAUUGUCCGUUUUAUUUAAAUUUUUUUUAUAAUUAGUAAUUUUAUUAUUAUUAUAUGAUAAAACAUGAAUAUUAAUUAUACAUAACUUAUGUUUUAAGUUUUUUUGAAAAUUUUUCAAAUAAAACGGAAGAUCAAAAUUGUGCACGAAAAAUCAUGGCUACACUUAAA